AACGAACGCUGGCGGCAGGCUUAACACAUGCAAGUCGAACGCCCCUUUCGGGGGGAGUGGCAGACGGGUGAGUAACGCGUGGGAACGUGCCUUGAAGUCUGGAAUAACUGCGGGAAACUGCAGCUAAUACCGGAUAUUCUCUACGGAGGAAAGAUUUAUCGCUUCAAGAUCGGCCCGCGUAGGAUUAGGUAGUUGGUAGGGUAAUGGCCUACCAAGCCUACGAUCUUUAGCUGGUCUGAGAGGAUGAUCAGCCACACUGGAACUGAGACACGGUCCAGACUCCUACGGGAGGCAGCAGUGGGGAAUAUUGGACAAUGGGCGCAAGCCUGAUCCAGCCAUGCCGCGUGAGUGACGAAGGCCUUAGGGUUGUAAAGCUCUUUUAUCAGGGACGAUAAUGACGGUACCGGAAGAAGAAGCCCCGGCUAACUUCGUGCCAGCCGCCGCCGUAACAC
rnacentral:rRNA from 1 species